rnacentral:lncRNA from 1 species
AGAGAUUCUGGAUUGUUUAGCAGUACACUCAUCAGCAAAUAUAGGUUUACCGAGGACACAGGCAAUUCUACUUAAAGACUUGCUGCCCUAACAAGACAUGGGUAAGUUAGGAAACUUCACCCAUAGAGGAAUUUCUGAAGGGAAAGCUGCCUUAAAAUCAAAAUCCACAGACCAUUGCUUCACAAUCAUAGGUCUGUUGGCAAUAGUAUAAGGCCCUNN